GACGAACGCUGGCGGCGUGCUUAACACAUGCAAGUCGUACGGUAAGGCCCUUUCGGGGGUACACGAGUGGCGAACGGGUGAGUAACACGUGAGUAACCUGCCCACAACUUUGGGAUAACGCUAGGAAACUGGUGCUAAUACUGGAUAUGUGCUCCUGCUGCAUGGUGGGGGUUGGAAAGCUCCGGCGGUUGUGGAUGGACUCGCGGCCUAUCAGCUUGUUGGUGGGGUAGUGGCCUACCAAGGCGGCGACGGGUAGCCGGCCUAAGAGGGUGACCGGCCACAUUGGGACUGAGAUACGGCCCAGACUCCUACGGGAGGCAGCAGUGGGGAAUAUUGCACAAUGGGCGCAAGCCGGAUGCAGCAACGCCGCGUGCGGGAUGACGGCCUUCGGGUUGUAAACCGCUUUCAGCAGGGACGAAGCUUUUUGUGACGGUACCUGCAGAAGAAGCACCGGCUAACUACGUG
rnacentral:rRNA from 1 species